AGUCGAACGAUGAAGCCAGCUUGCUGGUGGAUUAGUGGCGAACGGGUGAGUAACACGUGAGUAACCUGCCCUUGACUCUGGGAUAAGCCUGGGAAACUGGGUCUAAUACCGGAUAUGACCUUCCAUCGCAUGGUGGUUGGUGGAAAGCUUUUGUGGUUUUGGAUGGACUCCCGGCCUAUCAGCUUGUUGGUGAGGUAAUGGCUU
rnacentral:rRNA from 1 species